rnacentral:misc_RNA from 1 species
UUAGAAUUGGGAGCAGAAAGUC